AUACAACUAAUGAGUCCCAAAUAGGACGAAACACGCUUUGUCCUGAAU
rfam:Schistosoma haematobium scaffold3001_1, whole genome shotgun sequence.